CUUAGCUCAACUGGAUAGAGCAUUGGUCUUCUACACCAUGGGUUGCAGGUUCGAGCCCUGCAGGGCGGGCCA
rnacentral:tRNA from 1 species